GACGAACGCUGGCGGCGUGCCUAAUACAUGCAAGUCGAACGCAGUGGGGACGGUUGAGUAACACGUGGGUAACCUCCCAUCAGAGGGGAUAACACUUGGAAACAGGUGCUAAACCGAUACUGAAUGAUGAACCCGCGGUGCAUUAGCUAGUUGGGGGGGUAACGGCGCACCAAGGCCACGAUGCAUAGCCGACCGGAGAGGGUGAUCGGCCACACUGGAACGGAGACACGGCCCAGACUCCUACGGGAGGCAGCAGUAGGGAAUAUUCGGCAAUGGACGAAAGUCUGACCGAGCAACGCCGCGUGAGUGAAGAAGGUUUUCGGAUCGUAAAACUCUGUUGUUAGAGAAGCGGUAUCUAACCAGAAAGCCACGGCUAACUACGUGCCAGCAGCCGCGGUAAUUC
rnacentral:rRNA from 1 species